CGGUACUAGAUUAAGGAGCUGUAGAGCAGCAAAGAGAGGUGUGGGCAGAUAGUGGCGUAACUACGCAGCAGUUGUCAAGGUGAGAUGUGGUCUGGGCAUGAAGGUCAAUUGCUGGGGUGCCUAUAUAAGUUGCUGGUUUGUUCCGGCAUGGCAAUCUUCACCCAGCUGUGGAAGACAACUCAACACAAUGUUCAAGCUGUUUGUUCUGCUUGCUGCACUGUUGGCUCUGCUGGCCAGCGUGAGUGCUCUGCCUCAGUACCUUGUCUCCCCAUAUGGCUAUGGAUACUAUGGCAGCUACGCCUACCCCUACAGCUAUGGUAGUUACUUGUACCGUUAAGCUCAUGAUGUAAGAAUUUGUUAUGAUCGCAGCUUUCAGACCAUCUUGAACCAACACCAUACUGCAGAUUUUGAAAAUGUCAGUUAUCUUGAAUUCUUCAACUGUCUGCCAUACUUGCCUGUAAUUUGGUUUAUAUUCCUCUUUAAAAUAAAAUUACAGUAAUUAAUUA